CCUACGGGUGGCAGCAGUGGGGGAUAUUGCACAAUGGGGGAAACCCUGAUGCAGCGACGCCGCGUGAGUGCAGAAGUAUUUCGGUAUGUUAAGCUCUAUCAGCAGGGAAGAAAAUGACAGUACCUGACCAAGAAGCCCCGGCUAACUACGUGCCAGCAGCCGCGGUAAUACGUAGGGGGCAAGCGUUAUCCGGAUUUACUGGGUGUAAAGGGAGCGUAGACGGGUAUGUAAGUCUGGAGUGAAAGUACGGGGCCCAACCCCGGGACUGCAAUGGACACUGUGUAACUGGAGUACAGGAGGGGCAGGCGGAAUUCCUGGUGUAGCGGUGAAAUGCGUAGAUAUCAGGAGGAACACCGGCGGCGAAGG
rnacentral:rRNA from 1 species